rnacentral:tRNA from 1 species
GAAAUAUAAACAUAUUAAACUUCUAAUUUAAUUAAUAGUGAGUAAGUCAUUAAUAUUUCU